UACGGAGGAUGCAAGCGUUAUCCGGAUUCAUUGGGUUUAAAGGGUGCGUAGGCGGACUAUUAAGUCAGUGGUGAAAGCCUGCAGCUUAACUGCAGAACUGCCAUUGAUACUGAUAGUCUUGAGUUUGGUUAAGGUAGGCGGAAUGUGUAAUGUAGCGGUGAAAUGCUUAGAUAUUACACAGAACACCAAUUGCGUAGGCAGCUUACUGAGUCGACACUGACGCUGAGGCACGAAAACGUGGGGAUCGAACAGGAUUA
rnacentral:rRNA from 1 species